AUUGAACGCUGGCGGAAUGCUUUACACAUGCAAGUCGAACGGCAGCACGGACUUCGGUCUGGUGGCGAGUGGCGAACGGGUGAGUAAUGUAUCGGAACGUGCCCAGUCGUGGGGGAUAACGUAGUGAAAAUUACGCUAAUACCGCAUACGAUCUAUGGAUGAAAGCGGGGGAUCGCAAGACCCCGCGCGAUUGGAGCGGCGGAUAUCAGAUUAGGUAGUUGGUGGGGUAAAGGCCCACCAAGCCAACGAUCUGUAGCCGGUCUGAGAGGACGACCAGCCACACUGGAACUGAGACACGGUCCAGACUCCUACGGGAGGCAGCAGUGGGGAAUUUUGGACAAUGGGCGAAAGCCUGAUCCAGCCAUUCCGCGUGCAGGAUGAAGGCCUCGGGUUGUAAACUGCUUUUGUACAGAACGAAAAGGUUUCUACUAAUACUAGGAGCUCAUGACGGUACUGUAAGAAUAAGCACCGGCUAACUACGUGCCAGCCGCCGCCGUAA
rnacentral:rRNA from 1 species